rnacentral:rRNA from 1 species
GAUCAUGGCUCAGGAUGAACGCUGGCGGCGUGCUUAACACAUGCAAGUCGAACGAAGCACUUUAUUUGAUUUCCUUCGGGACUGAUUAUUUUGUGACUGAGUGGCGGACGGGUGAGUAACGCGUGGGUAACCUGCCUUGUACAGGGGGAUAACAGUUGGAAACGGCUACUAAUACCGCAUAAGCGCACGGCAUCACAUGAUGCAGUGUGAAAAACUCCGGUGGUAUAAGAUGGACCCGCGUUGG